rnacentral:tRNA from 1 species
CGUCUCGUGGCAUAGUUGGUAACGUGCCUGUCUAACGAAUAGGAAAUCGUGAGUUCGAUUGUCACUGAAAAGA